rnacentral:rRNA from 1 species
AUGGAGAGUUUGAUCCUGGCUCAGGAUGAACGCUAGCGGCAGGCCUAAUACAUGCAAGUCGAACGGUAACAGGACCAGCAAUGGUCGCUGACGAGUGGCGCACGGGUGCGUAACACGUAUGCAAUCUACCUUUAACUGGAGAAUAGCCCCGAGAAAUCGGGAUUAAUACUCCAUAAUAUUAUGAAGUGGCAUCACUUUAUAAUUAAAGCUCAGGCGGUUAAAGAUGAGCAUGCGCGAUAUUAGCUAGUUGGUGAGGUAACGGCUCACCAAGGCUACGAUAUCUAGGGGAUCUGAGAGGAUUUACCCCCACACUGGUACUGAGACACGGACCAGACUCCUACGGGAGGCAGCAGUAAGGAAUAUUGGACAAUGGGCGCAAGCCUGAUCCAGCCAUGCCGCGUGCAGGAUGACGGCCCUAUGGGUUGUAAACUGCUUUUGUACGGGAAAAAACCCUUCUACGUGUAGAAGGCUGAUGGUACCGUAAGAAUAAGGAUCGGCUAACUCCGUGCCAGCAGCCGCGGUAAUACGGAGGGUGCAAGCGUUGUCCGGAUUUAUUGGGUUUAAAGGGUGCGUAGGCGGCCCCUUAAGUCAGUGGUGAAAGCCCGCGGCUCAACCGCGGAACUGCCAUUGAUACUGGGGGGCUUGAGUACAGACGAGGUGGGCGGAAUUGAAGAUGUAGCGGUGAAAUGCUUAGAUAUCUUCAAGAACACCGAUUGCGUAGGCAGCUUACUAGGCUGUAACUGACGCUGAGGCACGAAAGCGUGGGGAGCGAACAGGAUUAGAUACCCUGGUAGUCCACGCUGUAAACGAUGAUCACUCGAUGUUGGCGAUAUACUGUCAGCGUCCAAGCGAAAGUGUUAAGUGAUCCACCUGGGGAGUACGAUCGCAAGAUUGAAACUCAAAGGAAUUGACGGGGGCCCGCACAAGUGGUGGAGCAUGUGGUUUAAUUCGAUGAUACGCGAGGAACCUUACCUAGGCUAGAAUGCGCGUGACCGCCUCAGAGAUGAGGCUUUCCUUCGGGACACAAAGCAAGGUGCUGCAUGGCCGUCGUCAGCUCGUGCCGUGAGGUGUUGGGUUAAGUCCCGCAACGAGCGCAACCCCUAUGUUUAGUUGCCAGCGGAUAAUGCCGGGGACUCUAGACAGACUGCCUGCGCAAGCAGUGAGGAAGGCGGGGACGACGUCAGGUCAUCAUGGCCCUUACGCCUAGGGCUACACACGUGCUACAAUGGACGGUACAGCGGGUUGCCAACCAGCGAUGGUGCGCCAAUCCCGAAAAGCCGUUCUCAGUUCGGAUCGGAGUCUGCAACUCGACUCCGUGAAGCUGGAAUCACUAGUAAUCGCGUAUCAGCAAUGACGCGGUGAAUACGUUCCCGGGCCUUGUACACACCGCCCGUCAAGCCAUGAAAGUCUGGUAGACCUGAAGCCGGUGCUCCGCAACGAAGCCGGUUAGGGUAGAACAGGUAAUUAGGGCUAAGUCGUAACAAGGUAGCCGUACCGGAAG